rnacentral:lncRNA from 1 species
CAUACCUUACCGACUGGUUUAACAUCGAUGGCACACCCAUGCAUGCAUCUACCCCUUGCCCGAACAAGCUUGGGCUCACCCUUUGCCAACAAAUUGAGUUCUUUGGGAUCUUCAGUUCUCUGGCUCAUCUAGCAUAGCAUGGAAAGGGUGGCUUCAAGCUUUCUAGCCUGCUUGGUGGGAUUACUGCAUAACUGCCAUUAUGCUGCCAAGGAAGAAGGUAGAAGUUUCAAUAGCUAGACAACCACGAAAUCCAUCAUUUCACAUCGAGUUGUCUCUAUAUUCUCAACCAGGGCCGACUAGAUUGCAUUCCCCAACCCUGCGAAGUGCUGAAGACUUCGACGAAGUGCUG